UACAAUAAAUUAAAAUACAUUAUAAUUAAGCAUGAUAGAUAUCUGAGCAAAGCCUUUGAAGUGAUGUAGAGUAGCUGUAGUAUGGCAAACUAUUCCUUUCUAAAGUUUAGUAGGCAUAUAGACAAUAAUAAUAUCAAUAGAACUUGUAUACAUUUUAACAAAGCAAAGGAUGUAUACAGCCCAUUUGAAACAUGUAACAUGCAUAUGCUAUCCCAGUUUUGGGAUUUUUUAGUCAACAAUAACAAAUGUACGUUAUUUUUCUCUAAUAACUUAUUUAAGUUAGACCCUUGACUGUUAUAUUUAUAAAUAUAAAUAUGUAAUCAUGCUUUGAAAAAUUUUAGGUUCAGUUACACUUACAUGUAACACAAAAUUUUACAUAUAUACGCAUGAAUAAAAAAGUGUUGUGGGUAUUCGUCAAUUAGACAGCCGCCCAAUGACUAAAAUCUCCAACAGACAUCCAGAGGGUAAGAUAGUCUCAGAUUACUUCAAAGAUGGACAGGUGUUUAUACAAUAUGCAAAACUCUAUAAAAGUUUUAAAUAAAUUUACUUUGUGUCAACUAUAAAAUAAAUAGUCAGUGUGAUCCUUAAAAGCACCUUUAAUUUUAAUAUAACUUUGUAAGAAUGAAUACUUUUUAAUAUUUUGGAAUAAAGUUUUAUAUUAAAUUAUCAUUUUUUACAUUUAGCGCUGCCAAAUGUACUGUAAGUGAGUAAAACUUGCAUAUUCAAAAGUCAGCAUUAAGACAUUUUUUUUUUAGAUUGCUAAAUUAAAAAGAUUAGAAAAAAUAUGAAAUACGAAAAGAAGAGAUGUAUAAAAACUGGAGUUUUCAUCAAUGCCACAGUAAUGUGCAUUAUUUUUUUACAUACAGGAAAAUUUACGUAUGUGCUUUUUCUUUCAGGAAAAUGUAUUCACUAGUGAAUCGAUGGUUUAAAACUACCAGGAUGUAAUGAGAGAUGACUUGACUCAAGCUAGCGAACAAUUGUAGCGAACAAUUAGCCAGCGAACAAUUAGGAGGUAUAACUAAAAACCACAAUUUCACAUAAGACAAUCACGUUUUUUUCGAGCUAGCGAACAAUUACAGAGACCUAGUGGACAAUUAUGAGAAUAUUAUUCAAAAUAUUAAACAAAAACGAAUAAAAAAAAUAAAACAAAAGGGAUACCAUAAAGAUUUUGACCAAUUUAUAGAGAUUGUCACAGGCAACGACUGUAAAUGUAACAUAGAGGAGACAUUAUCGUAUCUAAUAAGACAAACCCCAGAAUGGUUUAUGUUUAAAAAUCUGAAGUUAAGUUUAAAAAACUGAAAUUUUAAAAACGAAAAGGGUUGAGGGGGCAUACAUUAAGUUGAUUUUUGACCCAUUUAUAGAGAUUGUGACGGUACACGACUGCAUUAUAGGUGAUACAUUAGCGUAUCUAUUAGGACAAACUCCAGAUUGGUUCAUGUUAAAAAAUCUGAAGUUAGGUUGAAAAAAAUGUAAUUAAAAACGAAAAGGGGGGAUACCUUAAGUUGAUUGUUGACCCAUUUAUAGAGAUUGUGACGGGCAACGACUGCCUAUAGGUGAUGUAGAGGAGACAUUGGCGCAACGUUUAGGAAAAUUUCCAGAGUGGUUUAUGUUCGAAAAUCUGAAUUUAUAAUUUAAAAAAUGGAAAAUGUGAGAUUGACAAAAUGAGAUUAGGGGGUAGGCCAAUUUAAGUUACUUUUGGACCAAUUUGAAGAGAUUGUAACGGGCAACGACUAUACAUGUGAUGUAGAGGACACAUUGGUGCAUCGUUUAGGAAAAUCUCAUGAGUGGUUUAUGUUCGAAAAUAUGAAGUUACGGUUAAAAAACUGAAACUUUUAUUGUGAAAUUGACAAAAUGAGAUUAGGGGGGUAGGGCACUAAAAGAAAAAUUUGGACCAUUUUAAAGAGAUUGUGACGGGCAACGACUAUAUAGGUGUUGUAGAGGAGACAUUGGCGCAUCGUAUUAGAAAAUCUCCAGAGUGGUUUAUGUUCGAAAAUCUGAAGUUACGGUUAAAAAACUGAAAAUGUUAUUGUGAAAUUGACAAAAUGAGAUUAGGGGGGUAGGACACUAACAGAAAAAUUUGGACCAUUUUAAAGAGAUUGUGACGAGCAACGACUAUAUAUAUUGUAGAGGAGACAUUGGUGCAUCGUUUAAGAAAACAUCCAGAGUGGUUUAUGUUCGAAAAUCUGAAGUUACGGUUAAAAAACUGAAAUUGUGAAAUUGACAAAAUGGGAUUAGAGGGGUAGAUCAAUUUAAAUUAAUUUUGGCCCAAUUUUAAGAGAUUGUGACGGGCAACGACUGUAUAGGUGUUGUAGAGGAGACAAUGGCGCAUCGUUUAAGAAAAUCCAGAGUGGUUUAUGUUCGAAAAUCUGAAGUUACGGUUAAAAAACUGAAAAUUUUAUUGUGAAAUUGACAAAAUGAGAUUAGGGGGAUAGGGCACUAAAAGAAAAAUUUGGACCAAUUUCAAGAGAUUGUGACGGGCAACGACUACAUAGGUGUUGUAGAGGAGACAUUGGCGCAUCGUAUUAGAAAUCUCCAGAGUGGUUUAUGUUCGAAAAUCUGAAGUUACGGUUAAAAAACUGAAAUUGUGAAAUUGACAAAAUGAGAUUAGGGGGUAGGCCAAUUUAAGUUAAAUUCGGACCAAUUUCAAGAGAUUGUGACGGACAACGACUAUAUAGGUGUUGUAGAGGAGACAUUGGCGCAUCGUAUUAGAAAAUGUCCAGAGUGGUUUAUGUUCGAAAAUCUGGAGUUACGGUUAAAAAACUGAAAAUUUUAUUGUGAAAUUGACAAAAUGAGAUUAGGGGGUAGGGCACUAAAAGAAAAAUUUGGACCAUUUUAAAGAGAUUGUGACGGGCAACGACUGUAUAGGUGUUGUAGACGAGACAUUGGCGCAAAUUUUAAGAACAUCUCCAGAGUGGUUUAUGUUCGAAAAUCUGAAGUUACGGUUAAAAAACUGAAAAUUUUAUUGUGAAAUUGACAAAAUGAGAUUAGGGGGAUAAAGCACUAAAAGAUCAAUUUGAACCAUUUUAAAGAGAUUGUGACGGGCAACGACUAUAUAGGUGUUGUAGACGAGACAUUGGCGCAUCGUUUAAGAAAAUCUCCAGAGUGGUUUAUGUUCGAAAAUCUGAAGUUACGGUUAAAAAAACUGGAACUUUUAUUGUGAAAUUGACAAAAUGAGAUCAGGGGGUAGGGCACUAAAAGAAAAUUUUAGACCAAUUUCAAGAGAUUGUGACGUGCAACG